rnacentral:tRNA from 1 species
UCCCUGGUGGCUCAGACGGUAAAGCAUCUGCCUGCAAUGCAGGAGACCCAGGUUCGAUCCCUGGGUUGGAAA